CCUGUGAGGCGCAGGCGGCCGUAGCCAGCCGCCCUCGGGCGUUCCGUGCCUCGCGGGGCUCCGUGGAAGGGGCUCGGGCGGCGAAGGGUAGACUGGGCGCCAUGAGGUAGCGCUGGCGGGAGCUCCGAAGGGUUGUCGCCGAGCUGGCGGGAGCAAGAUGAAAACAAGAGCAAGCAAGAGUAAAGUGAGGCAGCCUGGGCAGGCGAUCCGGCUCCGUGCUGGGCAUACUCGGGAAAGAUACUGAAGAGAAGCCUGCGUGUCAUGCUGCCCCUGCACAGAUCUUUGGUACGAGCACAGGAACAAUACAGUGCUCCGGCCUGGUCACUUCACGUGGAACCAGAGGUGCAGAAAAGGGCAAUUAGGAGCCAAGGCCGAGCUGGAACUGACCUUUAGGACAGCCGAAGCAACCCAGAGUGCAGGUGCAGCCUCCUCCUGCGUUGGUCCCCUUGCUUUUCUUUAUCAUUUCCCCCCUUCUAAGAGGAAGCAAGGCAGCUCACAAGGAAAAGUGGGACCAGACUUGUCGAUGCUUAUGGAGAAGUCCUGUCCACAGGGCAGCGUUUGACCUCCUGUGACUGGUGAAGGAGCAGGCCUUGCCAGUGCUCCCUAGGAGGCUCUUCUUGAUGUGAGCUCCGGUGCACCCGAGUUUGGCCAGAACUCCCUCCCUCCUCGGAAGCUGUCUGCCUGGUGGGAGUGCAGUGUAAGCACCAGCCACAGUCCCAGGGAAUGGGACAUCCCAUUGAGGGAAUGGGGGACGUCCCUCAGCAGAAAAGGAGGCAUCACUCUGCUGGAUGAGAUACCAAACACCCUGUCGGGAUAGUGGGGGGUGGGCAGUCUUUCCCCAGGCUGUCCCUAGGAUUUUGGAAAAUAAAUUGCUUCUGAACAUAAGAUUCUUGCCAGGUGUUGCAAUAACUAACUGUAAGCAUCAAAGGGCAGACUUUUCCAUAUUGGAUAAAGCUGAGACUAUGGAGCUCAUUACAGGGUAUUCUUGUUUCUGAUGCAGGUGUUUUUUUUUGUUUUUGUUUGUUUGUUUGUUUGUUUUUUUGAGGCCCUGGACAAUCAGAUCACACUCAGGCCACUGGAUAUCAGAGAACCUUAUCUAUUGUAGAUUAAGAAAAUAAUACAGUUGGAAGGGCCAUAAAGGCAUCUGCAGAUCUGUUAAGCAUUCCCUGUACCGCCUCAUCUUAAACAUUACUAAAAAUGUUGAAGAACACUGUACCCAGCAUCCAACCCUGCAGUAUUUAUUUUAAUUUUUAUAUACUGCCCCAUUCUCAUAGAUGCUGGGUAGUUUACAAGAGGAAUAGAAAACAUGUAACCAGUUAUUCAAGCAUCCUUAAUUUAAAUGAACAAAAGCUCACGUUCUGCAGACUUGGUUCAUAAUUACAGUAGUAGGCAUAAAGUGCCAAUGUAGCAAAAUAUCAAUUUAUCCAAUGUGGAAUUUUUAAAAUGAUGAAAUAAAAGUUCUCUUCUUGACUUGCGCUGCCCAAAAUAA